GGUGAUGUGGCCAAGAGGUAAGGCGUCGGUCUGCAAAACCGUUAUCGCCGGUUCAAAUCCGGUCAUCACCU
rnacentral:tRNA from 1 species